AACAGUGGGAGGGGAAGGGGCAGAGCAUGGCACUGGGUCCCCUAAAACAUUCCAAAAGAUUCACCAUCACUGUCCUACAGAAUAUAUUCCAUUGUCAAAGCUUUGGAGAACCAUGGUCACAUUCAUAACACACUGAGUUUUUUAAAAAACCUUCCAAUGCAUAAAAUGAAGCUGGAAAUUAGAGGAGAGAAUCCAACAAGUGGACUCCUUGAGACAGGAAGGCAAAGGACCACAGGAACAACCAAAGGGGUUAGCAUUAGUAAAAAUGGCCAUCUCAUUCUCUAAAACUAGAGCAAAAGAACAGACGAAGCCCAGGACAGAUGGCCACAAUUUUUUCAGUAAAACAUAAAACAAGUCCUCUGAUGAAAGGGAGAGGAUGUACAAGUACUGUAGAUGGCUUUAAGAAGAAAUGACAUGGGAUAUCACCACUGUGGCCAAUGUGACAAAGAAUCAACCAAGAAAAAUUAAAAGGAUUGCAGUGCAGCAGUUAGGACCCAGAGCCGGCUAAUGAGAGCUGGAACGAACGGGAGGAGAGUUGGAAAAGGAGAACACGGGAGAAGCCAUCGGAGUGACCCAGCCACCUUCCCCACGCCCCGCCCGAGCCCCUGACCCUGCCAGUCCCUCCCUCCCUCCCACCUUGCGGGAGCGAACCCGGGCAGGCACGCACCCUGGCACCCGCAUGGCCCACUUACCCAUCUUUCCUCUUGGCUUUGUAGACGUGACCUUAAAGAAACUGAAACUCCACAGUGUCAUUCUCCUUUGCCUUAAAAAUAUGAUGUGACCCUGCCUUCAUAAAGUCUAUGCCAAUACAGCACAAUAUCUGGCAGUUUCUUCUACCAUGAAAAGGCUGCCAACAUGGCCAGGAAAAUAAACCAUUUCUCCUUUUCAGAA